GCAAUAAAUCGUGGGGUGCUGAAGGAAAAGUGGGGAGUCCCAGCAAAACUGCACCCAGGGUUGAGUAGGACACCCGGGAGUGGUGAAGGUGCAGAGCAGAGUGUGGUGAAUCAAUCCAUAUCUGGGCCAGGGCAGGAGAGGAGCAAGUAGGUUGUCUAAGCCCGGAGAAGAAGGAAGAAGGGCCAGCCUUGAAUGCCCUUUCAGAACCUCGGAGCUCAUGGUAUGUUCCGACGGCAGCCAGAGCUGUGAAAAGUGGCUAGAGUAGCUGCCCCCGUGCAAGGGUGAGCGCGGCUGGUGUGUGCAUUGGUUUCAUGUCAGCGGUCCUCACCCAAGAACAUGCUGUGGAGAGCUCUGCAUGACGGGGGCAACUGCAGAGCUCUGGGUGGGGGCCUUGUCACAGGCAGGUGAUACAGACCUGGGUGGAGCUGCCCCGGCCGGUGCGUGGAAGAGAGCACCUAGCCAGCUUGGGUGAGAAGCCGUAGCUGGGCAGGAAGAGCCUUCCCCAAUCGGAGACAGAAUAAGUUGGGGUGUGGCGGUGACUCAGCCGGGAGCGAGAGUGGAGUAGGGCACAGAAAAGUUGGGUGAGGGACUCUGGGUUACACAGCUGGCCUGCAGCAGUUCAGAUGUGGGCGGGGGUUGGAAAACGCCAGCUCUAUCUGCGUGAUCUCUCUGAGAAAAUCCUGGGCUGUCCCUCUUCUUUCUGGUCAGAAGUUCAAGAAAGGAGCUGCCAACAUUCUGAGAAAUCUCACUAAAACAAGUAUUAAAAAGCUAGAUGAAAAUCCAGGCGUGAUGGGGAUGCGAGAACGCAGGUAUUCUCCUGCACCUGGUGUGAGAGCGGAUGCUGGUAUAACAGAGAUGAUGCAGCGUCUAAAUACUGGAAACCUGAGCGAUGAGAAGCUGGACUUCCAACAAUAUUUACUAGGAAAUAAGCAGAACCAAGUCACACCAAAGCCUCUGCGGGGUGGA